UGGCUAAGGUCAUGCCCUCCCUCCCUCCAAAUCGAUAAUUUAAUGUGACUUAUCAGAAAGAGAAAGAACUGUUUACUUUAAAAUCCUGGAUCCCAUAAAGGGAGAGCGAAAAGGCCUAAAAACCACAGAAGCUCAGGACUUGCGCCCAUGGCCGCCUGCACAGCCAGCAGAAAUAGGGGGAGCGGAAGGCCCCACCCCACAGGCCAGAGAAGGGCCCUGGGCCGAGAGAAGACAAGAGCUGCCCAGAAGAUUAUGGAAAGCCCGAAGCACACAGAGCCCACCUGGAGAAGUGGAGGGGUGCUCAGACGCUGCCCGCAGGUCACUCUGUGGAGCUGGUGAGGUUCCCGGAUGAUGAUCAGUGGCUGUGGUGGAAAGUGGAGGUGACGUUAACACCUUCACGGCUACAGAUUUUCCUUAGCAGAGCUGUGGAGUGUGACAAUGGUGUUUGUGUCCAAACUAUCAAACGCCAUUAUCACACUAAAUAGCUACUGUUAGGCAAUCCUUCCACUCAAUGAAGGCCUUGGCAUCUGUUAGGUUUGGGCAAGAAGGCUCAUCUUGUAGCAGUGCUCUCAAUCAUGUGUAAUUACUGAAUAAAUUCCGGUCCUUUUGUGCUCAUAACUAAUAUGUCAUCUGAACUUUGCCUCUCACAUGCCAUUGUUAAAUACUUUAGCCGAUGAUGAAUUGUCUUGUGUUCCUGAGUCAAUAGAAAGAUUGCCGUGUUCCCCAGAGCACCCAGCAGAAGGCUAGGCACAUGGGAAUUGUUCAACCCAUGCUUAUUGAGUUGAAAUGAAUAGUUAGGAAAAUGUUAGGUGCCGAAAACUGAAACUGGAUUAAAGCUAGGUUGUGAAAACCACAGGCUUAUGGAUGCAAAAUUAAGGUUUGUCGGUCCUUCACGUUGCAUCAUAAAAAACAACUUUCUGAUAACUUACACAUGUCUGUUAACUGACCUUUCAGAAAUUCUAGAACAUGUGUGAUUUCUACUGAUUUUAAUCAAUUGCCAGGCUGAUUACUGAAUUUGUGUGCUGGAUUCUUAUUCCUUAUGUUUCGAUGAAUCACCAUCAGGAAAUUAUACACGAACUAUGUGUGCGUUGCCAUGGCAAACCUGAACAUUUUAAACCCAUGCAGCUUCUGGGACAAUUGGACCAGCUGGGUGGUCUGGUUUGAAACACAUCCUUUCUCUGAGAGGCAUGUAAAGUAAGGAGUAGAUUCUGUUUGUGCUGGGCUAAAGCUGUUCUCCUCUGACUUGGCGAAGUGAACUGGUACAUGUGUAAUCAAAUUGAAGGGUUGGAGCAACCAUCAGAAACAGGUUCAUUCAAUCAUCCGUUUGCCAAAUAAAUAUGUGUAUUCAGUGGC